UACGUAGGGUGCAAGCGUUAAUCGGAAUUACUGGGCGUAAAGCGUGCGCAGGCGGUGAUGUAAGACCGAUGUGAAAUCCCCGGGCUCAACCUGGGAACUGCAUUUGUGACUGCAUCGCUGGAGUGCGGCAGAGGGGGAUGGAAUUCCGCGUGUAGCAGUGAAAUGCGUAGAUAUGCGGAGGAACACCGAUGGCGAAGGCAAUCCCCUGGGCCUGCACUGACGCUCAUGCACGAAAGCGUGGGGAGCAAACAGG
rnacentral:rRNA from 1 species